UGUAAAAAAUUCCUGUAAAUUUACAUGGAAAUUUAACAGCAAAUUGCUGUUUCCAUGUAAUAACAGCAUUUUGCUUUUUUUUACAAUGCAUUAUGGGAAGACUUGUUCACUUCGGGUUGCGUGGUCGAUCAACAACAAUUUGACACUGUUAUUUAACAGUACUAUACCCUAUUUUCAUCCAAUGAGCACAAGGCGCCAGUUUGGAAUAUCAGAUUGAGGCAAAUAAUUGGUCAACCGAUCCCAGACUGCCAUCAUACAGCCAUCUUUAUUACACAACACAGAUGUCUGCCACUCCUGCUGACCUCGAAAAGAUGGGGAACCUGCCUGUGAGUCCUCGUUUGAUCCUGCUUGGUGUUAAUCCGGGCCAAUGGAUGAAACAAUGGAUGAUCAGCCUCGAAGGCCGAAUAAUCUGCGAGGGUGUGCAGCCAACCUUUAUCUCUGGACUUGCUGCAUUGUUCUCUUCGUAUUACAUUUUUAAUUUGCAGUACCAAGAGGAAGCAGCAUCCACACUAGAAUUCCUUCAAAGGUAACAAGUUUGGACUUAUUUUAUUUAUUUCUAAUUAAUAUGUUAGUAUUAGU